rnacentral:rRNA from 1 species
UGCAGUCGAGGGGUAUUUAUCUUCGGAUAGAGAGACCGGCGCACGGGUGCGUAACGCGUAUGCAAUCUACCUUUCACAGAGGGAUAGCCCAGAGAAAUUUGGAUUAAUACCUCAUAGUAUACAGAGUUGGCAUCAACACUGCAUUAAAGUCACAACGGUGAAAGAUGAGCAUGCGUCCCAUUAGCUAGUUGGUAAGGUAACGGCUUACCAAGGCUACGAUGGGUAGGGGUCCUGAGAGGGAGAUCCCCCACACUGGUACUGAGACACGGACCAGACUCCUACGGGAGGCAGCAGUGAGGAAUAUUGGACAAUGGGCGCAAGCCUGAUCCAGCCAUGCCGCGUGCAGGAUGACGGUCCUAUGGAUUGUAAACUGCUUUUGCACAGGAAGAAACAACUCUACGUGUAGAGUCUUGACGGUACUGUGAGAAUAAGGAUCGGCUAACUCCGUGCCAGCAGCCGCGGUAAUACGGAGGAUCCAAGCGUUAUCCGGAAUCAUUGGGUUUAAAGGGUCCGUAGGCGGUUUAGUAAGUCAGUGGUGAAAGCCCAUCGCUCAACGGUGGAACGGCCAUUGAUACUGCUAGACUUGAAUUAUUAGGAAGUAACUAGAAUAUGUAGUGUAGCGGUGAAAUGCUUAGAGAUUACAUGGAAUACCAAUUGCGAAGGCAGGUUACUACUAAUGGAUUGACGCUGAUGGACGAAAGCGUGGGUAGCGAACAGGAUUAGAUACCCUGGUAGUCCACGCCGUAAACGAUGGAUACUAGCUGUUGGGAGCGAUCUCAGUGGCUAAGCGAAAGUGAUAAGUAUCCCACCUGGGGAGUACGUUCGCAAGAAUGAAACUUCAAGGAAUUGACGGGG